rnacentral:lncRNA from 1 species
CUGGGCUCGUCCCGGUGCCGGAAACGAGCGCUGCCCGGCGAGCGGCCUUGGGGACCCAGGGCUGGGGCCCGUGGCCUACACGAGGCCAGAGAUCCCCACUGGCCCCGAGAGGCCGCCCAGCGCUGGAGGUGCGGGCAGAGCUGCAGCCAAGCUCCCGAGGCGAUCUGCUGUUAGGCCACAACCUGGGCUCGCCUAGUGCCCGAGGCCCAAGUCGCAGUUCUCGUGAAAACGAAAAGGAGAUCGGCUAUGCCCUGGACACAAAGGAAGACCCGCGGGAUGUCCACCCCACAGGCCAAAAGCUCUUAAGACCAAAACGGUCUUUCAGGGCGCGGUUGCACGGUAGCACCCCCAUUUCCCAAACCGCAGAUUAAAACUGCGCGGGGUCCAGAGUUGGAGCGUGGAAGGGCCCGCAGGAGUGGAAGUGCGUACACCUGAUGCGGGACGGGAACUGCCGGGCGCGCACGGCUGCAGCCCCCACCCGCAGGCUGUUUCAGCCGGCAGCGUAUUUCUCAAUUGCCUGCGCCUGGUUUUUUGAAAUGUGCCGAAGCCGUGGCGGGAACCGGUCCCAAGGGCUGCGCAUGGCACCAGGAAUAAGCAGCCCGGAGGGGUUUGCAAAUCAGGAGGCCUUGCUGCAGACCCCGCACCCGGGCUGGGGGAACGGCAUUUCGGGCCUUGGUACCCGGAGUGUAGGAGCUGGGAGGAGAAAGACGUCUCUCCUGACUCCCAAAUCCCAUGAACUGAUUCGGCCCCGCACAGAGCAGGUUUCCGGUUUUGCACUGCCUCAGGGGACUGCUUACAGAGACCCCACGCAGUGAUCCCGUGACCCCUGUUGCUAGACAUCCAGAGGCUUCUGGUCCCUAAGUGCCAAGGUAGGCGUUUCUUGGGGCCCAGAAACGGCCUAGCCAGGGGCAGGUGGCAAACGCCAGCACAGUCUCAGCACCUCGGGACCUUAGGCGCUGCCUCGCGCAACUUCUGCGCCCCAAUCCAUGCCUGAGAAGAAACCCUGAGCCCCGAACACGCCGGAAGUUUCCCCAGCGCGUCUAAGAGGCUUCGCCUGCUGGAGGGCCCGAGACGCAGCAAAGAAGAGGCUCCGGGAGGAACUUGGGAUCGUACGGACACGCAACCACUUCUGGGAUUAAGCGCGGAAGACGUUUCCUAAAUGCCCUGAAUCCCCGUUUGCCUGGUAGGCCACCUCCAAACUCAGAGUCACUAAACACCAGAAAAGCUGGUGGCCACCGAAACCCAGCUCUGUAAAGAAGAAAAACCCAGACGUAAUUGGGUGCUAGUACUGAAGACCAAGUGCGCACAGAAAACCGCAGACCGUGCAGAGGCCCAGGGCGGAAGGGAUGCGGGCAGCGGACAGCGACUCAGGCAGCAGCCGCGGAGUCCCCAGCGGUUUAGCUCCCCAGCCGGAGGCUCUCCGCGCCGUUCCUGGAUGAAGAGAAACGCCUGGCGUUCCCGGGUGCGCGGUUCCCGUUCCCAGGCAGCUCGGCGGGCAUUCGGCUCGCAGCCCCGAGCCUUCGCGGUCUGAUUUGGGAGGCCUGCGCCCUGGCAUUUGCAUAUUCCCGGGAACACUGGGAGGCCUGUAAUUUUCUUUUUAAAAUCGUUGGGCAGGGUUUAGGGCCAAUGCUUCCAAAACCCCGCCGAGUUGAUGUCGUCCUUAAACUCUCCCUUAAGAGAAGGGGACUGGCCUAUUCUUCUGACUUUUUUAGAAAAGGUGACUCCUGGGGCUGCAUAUUCAACAGGGGGGAAAGCUGAUUGUGAACCAGGCUGUGGGGGGAGAGAGG